GAGUUUGAUCAUGGCUCAGGAUGAACGCUAGCGGCAGGCUUAACACAUGCAAGUCGAGGGGUAGAGUAGCAAUACUUGAGGCCGGCGCACGGGUGCGUAACGCGUAUGCAACCUACCUUUUACAGAGGGAUAGCCCAGAGAAAUUUGGAUUAAUACCUCAUAGUAUAUGUCUUUCGCAUGUUAGACAUAUUAAAGUUCCAACGGUAAAAGAUGGGCAUGCGUCCUAUUAGCUAGAUGGUAAGGUAACGGCUUACCAUGGCAACGAUAGGUAGGGGUCCUGAGAGGGAGAUCCCCCACACUGGUACUGAGACACGGACCAGACUCCUACGGGAGGCAGCAGUGAGGAAUAUUGGACAAUGGGCGCAAGCCUGAUCCAGCCAUGCCGCGUGCAGGAAGACGGUCCUAUGGAUUGUAAACUGCUUUUGUACGGGAAGAAACACUCCCUCGUGAGGGAGCUUGACGGUACCGUAAGAAUAAGGAUCGGCUAACUCCGUGCCAGCCGCCGCAGUAAC
rnacentral:rRNA from 1 species